rnacentral:lncRNA from 1 species
GUUAGUGAUGGAUGAUUUGAAUUUUCAAUCAAUACCCAUACAUUUUCUACUAUUCACACCAUACCAAUCACUUACACAUUUUCCUUGUUUCAAGGAACCAUGUUUUUAUGGAAAUCCCUUUUUCAAACAUACCCAUCACCUUUCACUUUUGUUGAAAAAUUCAAAAGUUUUAAGACACAUUCUCUCAUCCAAAACCGGCCACCCUAUUAAAUAGGAUACUUUUGGGGCUUUUAUACAAUUACAUAAAGUUUUGAUACUUUUGUGUAUUUGUACUUUGACCCGAAAGUUUACAUUUUUACGUAAAGGCCCAAGAUCACUAAAGGACAAAAUGUUUUGCUCCUUUGAUGAAGUUUUUGUAUUUUGAUGAAAUUUUUGGGUUCUAGUUGUAAUUACAUGAAGUAGUGGAUUUUUGUGUUUUUACAAAGUGACCUCAAAAGUUUAUGUUUUGCAAUAUAGCGCAAUGGUUGAGGUUAUUGUUUCGGCCCAAAUUAGUUGAGAACAAAAUAGUUUUGUAUCUUUAAAUGAGAAUUGGAUUUUCAUUUCAUUUAGCUCCAUUUAAAUCAAUUCUAUGGAUACAAAAACCAAAUGAAAAUGUUGCAUUCAAGUUUAAUUAGUUAAAGUGUUAAUUAAUUAAAGAAAGGGUGAUUAUGAACCUAAGCCUACGAUAAUUGAGCUAUGCGAAAGGCCAUCUCAAAUUUGUUUGAACCAUGGGAAUGUGUAGAUUAGAUUUUGGUUGUAAUUUGAUAUGAUCAAAUAUUGUAAAAGAGCAUAAGCUCUUCUUUAAUUUAAAGUAGUUUGUUUUGAUCAAAUGUUGUAAAAGAGCAUAAGCUCUUCUUUACUUUGAAGUACUUCUUUCUUGCUUUAUUUGAUAUGCAUGAAAAUGAAGUAGAGGGUCCAACGCCCAAUAAGAAAACGCGCCUUAAUGUGAUUAAACGCGUAACUAAAAUCAAUCACCAUCCCCAGACCGAGAUUCAACACUUAGCUCGUGUUGGAUCGAAUCAAAGGUUCAUAGUCAUCCUAAGGCCCUAAGGCAACUAUAUAGUCCAUCAAUGAAUGCAAACCUUAUGGUACUAGUACCAUAUACUCUUGCUUUAAAAACCAUUUUACAAGCAUAGUGGGAGUAUCAUAUACAACUAAAUCAAUCACAUGGACCAAUAGUUGUAAUAGGACCAAAUUGUUUUAAUAAGAUUAAAAUGCAUGCUUAUAUGUGAUGAGACCUAAAACCCUCAACCAAACCAUUAUUAAGUUGAUAAGCAUGAGAGUGCUUUGAACAUUCUUUCGUGGCCUUCCACUGUGGUAGGCUCCGAUCGUUUGUGACUCGUACACCGACUUCACCCUAUUGUGGGGGAGUACAAAGUGAGUGCUUACACUCAGGAGGAGUUCUAUAUGCAUACAUGUGUUGUAAAGGUAGGCAACGAGAAUGAUCAACAUCAUAUCAUUGUGAGGUUGUUCUUGAACCCCUACUCGAACUUGCAUGGUGGGAAUGACUUAACUAAGUGCAAUGGAGCCAACAUCAUAUCAUUGUGAGGCUUCAUUCUCUAGAGGCCAAAUAAGAUGGGUACUUGCAAGAGAUGCAAAUGAGUAAGCGUACUCUCUCAUUAUUAUGGAUGCUAGCUAACAUCAUAUCAUUGUAAGGUGGGCUUGGCAAUGAUGAGUCUCCCAUAAGAGUUUCCUCCAAAACUCUCGAAUUCCGAUGAGGGAUAUGGAAUUUGCCAAAAAUAGUGGGUGGUGCUAUUUGAUUUAAAGACUCAGAUCAAAUGGCUUAAAAUCAAUCAAUUUAUAUUCGUUAUGUAUUUAUUUAUCAAUAUAUUUGCAAACGCUAUCCAAAACUUGACAAAGAAAAGCCGAAAGCUUCAGUUUCCUGACUUGGUACUACAAUCCCAUAGAUUGUCUUUAAUGGCUUGUAUAUGUACCUAAGUAGUCUCAUCCUUGCAAUCUUCCUAUUGAUAAUGUAUUAUUGGAAGAACAUGUUAGAUAAGUCUAUCAUAAAGAGGACAACAUUUUUUAAUGUCAUAAUUCUUCAAUUACAAGUUGUUGUUUGAAGAAAUAAGAGUUGCUUUGAACAACUCUAAGUUAACGCAAACAUUAGUGCUUGUUUCUUUGUUACAUGAACAAGGAACUUCAGAAGAAAGCACAAAGGCUUGGACACUUAAUGUGCCAUGAUUCUUCACUUACAAAUUGUUGUAUGAAGAAAUGAGAGUUGCCUU